UUGAAAUUUCCCAUCCUAAACCCACUUGGAUUUUUACUGCCUUUCGUCAUCAUUUGCAAUCUGUUUCAGCCAUACCUUCCAAAAUGCUUUGGUAUUUAGAAAGUCCAUGUUCUCUUGACUUCUAACAAUGUCUGUGUCCAUUCCUGGUUCUGCUUUUACUGCCCCCUGCAGGGUGCUUGAUGGCUCGUGGCUGUGAGCCUAGCUCCAUUAAUGCGACAGCAGUAGUAAUUUAAGUGAGUUAGCUUUGGCACUGAGACAUCCAUAGUUCUUUUGGGACUAAAUAGCUUGCAGUUGCACAAAAGCUAGGGUUAGGGGAUUCAAUGUGUGGUGUGAAAUGUCAUUGACUUGGAUACAUAAAGUUGAUCCCCUGACCUUGUCCUCAUAAGCAAUACAACACAGCCAACUGGCCCAGAGUCAUGAAACAAACUCUUCUCUCAUAUUAAAUAAGAAUGGCUUUUUCUUAAGCUGGUGGUUCUUGAACCAAGUGAUCAGAAUCACUUGGAAGGCUUAUUGUAGCACAUACUGCUGUUGUUGACCCUCAGAUAUCUGAUUCAGUAGGUCUGGGAUGGGGCCUGAGAAUACGCAUCUCUAACAAGUCCCCGGCGAUGCUGACGUUGCUGGUCUGGGGACCACAUGUUGAGAACCAUUGUCCCAAACUAUCAUAGAAAGAAGACAAAUAUCAGAAAACCAUCACACCAAUGGGGGGUUGAAAGUAGGCUGGGAGUAAAAGCCUCCUGGUAGAUGUUUCCUUCUUUGUCAGGAAGCAAGAAUUGAUUAUGAAAUUUGUGUAUCUAAGCCCUCAAGAAACUUUUAAUUUAGAAGACAGAAUAAAGAGAAGAAUUAAGAAAGACUGCAUGGACAAGACAUGUUUGGACCAGAGAUACAGGGGUACAAGCUGGAAAAGGGGAGAAAUGAAUCAGGCUACAGGCCAAGUGUCCAUCACUGAUUCCCAGAGAUGCCCGUUGUGUGGUGGGCACUUCCAUGUGGACUCUCUACAGGGGCACGUGCAUGGGUCCAAGAUAGGCAUCCCUCAGCUCAUGGCCUGUAUUCCAGCUUGUAGACUUUUGCUGAGGACGUCCCCUCACCAGUAACCAGCUCUGGUCCCAAGCUCCUGGCCGCAUUCUUCAGUGUCCACAAACCCACAGAGGCUCCUCAUCCUCAACUGUGGGAUUGCACCUUUUCCUGCUGGUUCCUCCUCUUUGCCCUGGCAUGUCUCCAAAUGUUGUCCUCCCUCUGCUCAAAUAGGCAUGGAGCAGGGGCAGAUCAGAAAGUCCGAUGUCCGACCAUCUUCCAACCAAACAAAAUGCUAGACUAUCAUCAUUGCACG
rnacentral:lncRNA from 1 species